rnacentral:ncRNA from 1 species
UUGAGCCGUGUGCGGGGAAACUCGCAUGCACGGUUCUUAGGAGAGUGGUGGCCGGUAACGGCCACUGCUUAUCCGAC